GUCCAGACUCCUACGGGAGGCAGCAGUGGGGAAUAUUGCACAAUGGGGGGAACCCUGAUGCAGCGACGCCGCGUGGGUGAAGGAGCACCUCGGUGCGUAAAGCCCUAUCGGCAGGGAAGAAAAUGACGGUACCUGAAGAAGAAGCCCCGGCUAACUACGUGCCAGCAGCCGCGGUAAUACGUAGGGGGCAAGCGUUAUCCGGAUUUACUGGGUGUAAAGGGAGCGUAGACGGCGAUGCAAGCCAGAUGUGAAAGCCCGGGGCCCAACCCCGGGACUGCUCUGGGAACUGUGCGGCUGGAGUGCGGGAGGGGCAGGCGGAAUUCCUGGUGUAGCGGUGAAAUGCGUAGAUAUCAGGAGGAACACCGGCGGCGAAGGCGGCCUGCUGGACCGCGACUGACGUUGAGGCUCGAAAGCGUGGGGAGCAAACAGGAUUAGAUACCCCCGUAAUG
rnacentral:rRNA from 1 species